GAACCGACAGGGAAACAAGCGAGCUGCGUAAAGCACCUCAGCGGACGCGGCCAAAGAAAACCCGCAAAAGGCCCCACUUAGACAAAGAAGCAAAAUGUAUCAAAGCGGCCUUCGUGUUCGGGCCUAAGACUGCGCGGGAGGCGGGACAUUGGGGAAGAGGCCCCGCCUACCUUGAAGCUGGCCAGCUGUGCGGAGGCGGC